AAAAUCUAUGCAUAUACCCAUCAAACAAAGCUAUAUUUGGAUGUUAAUAAUGUACAAGCUUGAAGAUCAGAGUAUCAAUCGACCCUCCUGAUCGUAAUGAAAUGAGUAGGAAAUUACGACUUUUGACUAUUCUAGCCAUGGCGACGAAGUCUUCAACUUUACCUACGAGUACUGCCUAAAACACUGCAUUGAUCUUCCGAUCCACCUAGAGUAUCAAUCCCUCCUGAUCUUAAUGAAAUGAGUAGCUAGGAAAUUACGACUUUUGACUAUCUAGCUAGCCAUGGUGAGAAAGUCUUCAACGUUACCUAUAAGUACUGCCUAAAAUACUGCAUUCUUCUCAUCCACCUCGCUUAUACUCUUUGAUCGAUCAUUCCUACAUUUGCAAAAUGGUAUUCUCUAACAAUUCCAAAGUUAUGGUACUCAUGAUGGCUCUUAUUGUAGCAAUCAUGUUGCUCAGUACUACGUGCUCUGAGGCAGCUUUGGCCAAUCCAAACCUUGGACGAAGAGUACUAGGUGUCAUGCGCAGGCAAUCUCAGGAAAUUCCUACAUAUACAGCUGUACCUAUAGGAGGAGGAGGAGGAUACUCAUAUUCGCCCCCGAGGCCAUGAGAAAGGAGUGGGCUAUACCGGUCACAAGAACCGCCAUAAUCGCCAGCCGGGGAAAUAAUUAAUACAUAUUUAGUUGAGCUCGCGCGCACUCACACACACAUAUAUUAAUAUUUGCAUUCAAAAUUUUAAAUUUGAUAUUCGAACCAGAUAUCUAUCCUCUUAGGGUUUGGUUCUGUACCAGCUGCACUCUGUUGCAUGCAUAGUAGUGUUUAAUAAGAUCUUUGUGGUGAUUAGAUUAUUAAGUCUUACGAGUACUAGCUAGCUUGUGUAAUGAUGUGUGUGAUCAAAGUAUAAUGACAAUCUCUGUUGGGUUCUUUUGAAUAA